AGUGAACGCUGGCGGUAGGCCUAACACAUGCAAGUCGAACGGCAGCACAGUAAGAGCUUGCUCUUACGGGUGGCGAGUGGCGGACGGGUGAGGAAUACAUCGGAAUCUACUUUUUCGUGGGGGAUAACGUAGGGAAACUUACGCUAAUACCGCAUACGACCUACGGGUGAAAGCAGGGGAUCUUCGGACCUUGCGCGAUUGAAUGAGCCGAUGUCGGAUUAGCUAGUUGGCGGGGUAAAGGCCCACCAAGGCGACGAUCCGUAGCUGGUCUGAGAGGAUGAGCACCCACACGGGAACUGAGACACGGUCCAGAGCCCUAGGGGAGGCGGCAGUGGGGAAUUUGGGACAAUGGGCGCAAGCCUGACCCAGCAGUCCGGGGUGGGUGAAGAAGGCUUUGGGUUUGUAAACCCCUUUUUUGGGGAAAGAAAAGCAGCGGUUUAAUCCCCCGCGUUCUUGACGGUACCCAAGAAAAAAGCCCCGGCUAACUUCGUG
rnacentral:rRNA from 1 species